rnacentral:rRNA from 1 species
AUUGAACGCUGGCGGCAUGCUUUACACAUGCAAGUCGAACGGUAACAGGUUAAGCUGACGAGUGGCGAACGGGUGAGUAAUGCAUCGGAACGUGCCCGAUCGUGGGGGAUAACGCAGCGAAAGCUGCGCUAAUACCGCAUACGAUCUGAGGAUGAAAGCGGGGGACCAUAAGGCCUCGCGCGAUCGGAGCGGCCGAUGUCAGAUUAGGUAGUUGGUGGGGUAAAGGCUCACCAAGCCAACGAUCGGUAGCUGGUCUGAGAGGCCGACCAGCCACACUGGGACGGGUACACGGCCCAGACUCCUACGGGAGGCAGCAUUGGGGAAUUUUGGACAAUGGGCGAAAGCCUGAUCCAGCAAUGCCGCGUGCAGGAAGAAGGCCUUCGGGUUGUAAACUGCUUUUGUACGGAGCGAAAAGGCUCUCUCUAAUACAGGGGGCUCAUGACGGUACCGUAAGAAUAAGCACCGGCUAACUACGUGCCAGCAGCCGCCGUAA